rnacentral:rRNA from 1 species
GUGAACGCUGGCGGUAGGCCUAGCCCAUGCCAGUCGCACGGCAGCACAGUAAGAGCUUGCUCUUACGGGUGGCGAGUGGCGGACGGGUGAGGAAUACAUCGGAAUCUACUUUUUCGUGGGGGAUAACGUAGGGAAACUUACGCUAAUACCGCAUACGACCUACGGGUGAAAGCAGGGGAUCUUCGGACCUUGCGCGAUUGAAUGAGCCGAUGUCGGAUUAGCUAGUUGGCGGGGUAAAGGCCCACCAAGGCGACGAUCCGUAGCUGGUCUGAGAGGAUGAUCAGCCACACUGGAACUGAGACACGGUCCAGACUCCUACGGGAGGCAGCAGUGGGGAAUAUUGGACAAUGGGCGCAAGCCUGAUCCAGCCAUACCGCGUGGGUGAAGAAGGCCUUCGGGUUGUAAAGCCCUUUUGUUGGGAAAGAAAAGCAGCAGGUUAAUACCCCGCUGUUCUGACGGUACCCAAAGAAUAAGCACCGGCUAACUUCGUG